rnacentral:lncRNA from 1 species
GGAUCUUUGUGUGUCUUCUGACAACUGCCCGGGUCGUUGCUGGCGCUGACCAGGAGCGCAGGCCGGGCCGCUCGGGCUCCCGAGCCUCAUCCUCCAAGUCGGGAUGGUCUCCUGAGCAGCAAGGAGUUGUGCCUCAACCCAGUGUCUCAUUUCCAAGCCGAGGACUAGCCUCAAGAAACAGCUUCAAGGUCUCACACUUUCAAAACCAAGUCUUUUAAGAAAACCAAAAUUUGUGGAAUCUGCAAACAACUAAUCGAUAGCCAAGGUGUUUCCUGCAGAGUGUGCAAGUAUGCCUGCCACAGGAAAUGUGAAGAAAAGGUGGUGACACCCUGCAUUUUCCCAAGCAACUACGAACUGGCUAAUAACUCUGAUGCCAUUAAAAAUCAUGUAACCAGAACUAAUUCCAGCAGUGCUUCAAAGAACUCCUCUUUCAGUUGUGACAAAGGAUCACGAA